UUAAUGAGGCGAGGAGGAAGCUCCCUCUUGCUGAGGAGCAGACAGACCUCCAGUCUGAGGCGGAAGCCAUUGAAAGGCCUCAAAGAAGAAUUAAGCCAAGCAUAUGUCCAGGACCGGGCCUCAUCAGAGGAUGAAGCCCAGACCCCUGGAAGAGGGCUUCCCCCACCCCCAGCCAUCCCCCCAGUGAGGAGAAGGUUCAUCCUCCCCAAUAACCUGUACCUCUGCCUGACCUGACCAAUUACCAGCAUGUCAUGACCCUGGGGACAUCAUUGCGGCAGGCCAUUGACCUGCAGGGUCACCAGGGAACCCAGGGGGUUCCAGUUCCAAC